GUGCUCGCUGGGGCGGCACAGAAACUAAAAUUGGAACCAUACAGAGAAGAUCAGCACGGAGCCUGCGCAAGGAUG
rnacentral:snRNA from 1 species